rnacentral:rRNA from 1 species
AACGAACGCUGGCGGCAUGCCUAACACAUGCAAGUCGAACGAGACCUUCUGGUCUAGGGGCGCGCGGGUGCGUAACGCGUGGGAACCUGCCCUUAGGGUCGGAUUAACUCCCCGAAAGGGGUUGUAAUACCGGAUAAUGUCGUCGGACCAAAGAUUUAUCGCGUUGGGAUGGGCCCGCGUUUGAUUAGCUAGUUGGUAGGGUAAAAGCCUACCGAGGCGACGAUCCAUAGCUGGUCUGAGAGGAUGAUCAGCCACACUGGGACUGAGACACGGCCCAGACUCCUGCGGGAGGCAGCAGUGGGGAAUAUUGGAAAAUGGGAGAAAGUCUGGUCCAGCAAUGCCGCGUGAGUGAUGAAGGCCUUAGGGUUGUAAAGCUCUUUUACCAGGGAUGAUAAUGACAGUACCGGGAGAAUAAGCUCCGGCUAACUCCGUG